GACACGCCUGGUUCCCAGCAGUUCUAGUAUCAGCCUCUCACACCUCCGUGUGAUUUAAAUCAGCACAGCGCCGCCCUGAGAGCAAAACCACAGGGGCCUCUCCUUUAUCUGAGGACCAACCUUGAUGGACCAACCUUGAGGUCCUUGAUGAAGGGAUUUCAGGAAUGGGAACAUCCCUGGGGUGACCUUGCACACUCUGGUGUAUUUGCAGAGCAAAGACAGUGAACCCCUCACAGCUACACUGAACAAUACGGAUGAACAAGCAAACCAGACACGGACAGUCCACGCCGUGACUUCAUCUACACAAGUUCAAACCAGAAAAAUGGAUCUAUGUUACCGAACGCAAGGCCAAGAUGACCCCUGAGGGGGGACCCAUCCUGCCUCAACAGCGGAAAAAGUCACAUCAGGUUUGCGUUUUCAGGAAAACUAAAACGAGCGAAACUUAAAAGCACAUCAUGACUUCGUAAGAACACCCGCAGUGGCCCGGGUCGGCCGGACGCCCAUCGUCACAUUGUGAGCACGCGUGGAGGCUGUCCGGGCAUUGAGGACACGCCACGCCAACGGGAGGCUUUACAUCAAAGCCACCGUCUAAAACUAAUUCAUUUCACUGUAACUAUUUGGGACAUACAAUCACCCAAAAUGGUUCCAGAGCUCUCAGAACAACCGAGAAACAUAAAAGGUGUUAAAAACAUCUGUAGGCUAAGUCGCCAGUCACACAGGGAAGGCUCUUUCUCCCGGCAAGCACGUGGGAACAGUGAAAAGGAAAUCAAAGCGAAUCUUCUCUGAAACACUUCUCUGUAUCCCUUAGCCUUGCUGGCUCCCACUCAGAAGCCACCCACCUUUCCUUAAAAGAGAAGAUUCUUUCUGAUUUUUUUUUUUUUUUUCCAGAGGAAGGUGGAACUCUGUGUGCUUUACCACCCACCGCCCCAGACAGGAGCUAAAGUAGGAAAAAUACUCAGGUUCACAAGAGCACUUCAGCUGCGCCCCGCAGAGACAAUCACGUCCAGCGUCCUUGGAAUCCUGGGGGGCCCAGAGCAUCGUCAGGAUUGUGGCCCAAGUUAUAACUCGUGGAGCGUCAGCUGGACGCAAAAGGGGCCACAGCAGGAAGGGAGAGAAAUGAAGGCCCCACUGAGGCCAAGGGGCAGGGGUGAGUCUCUGAGCCUCCACGCAACAGGAAGAAAGCAUGUCUGGAGUCAGAGGACCUCUGAGCUGGGGACUCUGGAGAGCGAGAGGAGACAUGUGGGUCAUGGAAGCAGAAUGAGAAGAAGGCCAGUGAGAGGAAAAGAGUAGAUGCUGAGCACAAAACUCAGCUCUGAGCUUCCUGGCAGCCAAAGCAAAAAGGGAGCUUGAUGAACUCUUGUCGAAGAGAAGGUGGACAGGCCACCCCUGUAAGUAGGUAUGGGAUUGUGAGCCAGAAGGAAUGCUCUGGAAUGAGGAUGGCGGCCGACCUGGCAUUGUCCGCAGCCCAAGAGCCCUGCCAACCCUGGUGUGUUAAUCGGUCAUACAAAUAUUAGGUAUUGGCAUUAGGUUAAAUCACUGAAAAGUCACACACGUGAACAUAAUUACUUUACAGCCCUAGCCCUUAAAAUGCUAUGCUCCCCCCACUCCCCCGCCCCGUACUGACCAUGGGGUGAUGGAAGAAGCGGCCGCUGGUGGCCACAGCCCUAGUCUGCAUGGGGCAGUCCUGGUUUAUGCCCGUGUUGCUAUCAUUACAAGUAGGGCCUCUUUCACACUCAGAAACUUCCCAGUCCUAUGCUACGUUCCAUAGCUGUGCUGAAUGGGUGCCACCGACCCCGUCCCACCAGCCUGUCUGUCCCUCUGUCCUCCCUGGCCGAUGUACCCUCUAAGGCAUCACCUUGAGGCUUUCCGAGGUCGCUUAUAGGAAAGCCUGACUGAUUUCUUCUCGAGUCCUGUCCAAGGGAGGAGUGAGGCCCCUGCUAAGUCACGAUGCCUCUUGUACCAGCAAGAGUGUCACCUUCCCUUCUCACUGUGUGUGCCAGAAAGCUCAGAAAUAAGGUUUUGUAGUAGCUUUCAUUAAUGGCUGGGCUAUGUGCCCUUUCUUGAACAGCUCCUGGACUUUGGUGAUUGUUUCGGCGGUGUACCCAUUUCAGCCGCUCUUUCUCGAGAAGCUGACUUCCGGGCCUCCCUGAGUGUGGGCCGGUCAGGAAUGCACAGUGAACGUAGU